GCCGCGGUAAAACCAGCACCUCAAGUGGUCAGGAUGAUUAUUGGGCCUAAAGCAUCCGUAGCCGGCUCUGUAAGUUUUCGGUUAAAUCUAUGCGCUCAACGUAUGGGCUGCCGAAAAUACUGUAGAGAUAGGGAGUGGGAGAGGUAGACGGUACUCGGUAGGAAGGGGUAAAAUCCUUUGAUCUAUCGAUGACCACCUGUGGCGAAGGCGGUCUACCAGAACACGUUCGACGGUGAGGGAUGAAAGCUGGGGGAGCAAACCGGAUUAGAUACCCGGGUAGUCCCAGCUGUAAACGAUGCAGACUCGAUGAUGCAUUGGCAUAUAGCCAGUGCAGUGUCGCAGGGAAGCCGUUAAGUCUGCCGCCUGGGAAGUACGUACGCAAGUAUGAAACUUAAAGGAAUUGGCGGGGGAGCA
rnacentral:rRNA from 1 species